GGGCCCGCACAAGCGGUGGAGCAUGUGGUUUAAUUCGAUGCAACGCGAAGAACCUUACCAGGUCUUGACAUCCAAAGAAUCCUGAUGAAAGUCGGGAGUGCCUUAGGGAGCUUUGAGACAGGUGGUGCAUGGUUGUCGUCAGCUCGUGUCGUGAGAUGUUGGGUUAAGUCCCGCAACGAGCGCAACCCUUGCUAUUAGUUGCUAACAGGUUAAGCUGAGCACUCUAAUGGGACUGCCGGUGACAAGCCGGAGGAAGGUGGGGAUGACGUCAAAUCAUCAUGCCCUUUAUGAUCUGGGCUACACACGUGCUACAAUGGAUGGUACAGAGAGCGGCGAUACAGUGAUGUGGAGCGAAUCUCAAAAAGCCAUUCUCAGUUCGGAUUGUAGUCUGCAACUCGACUACAUGAAGUCGGAAUCGCUAGUAAUCGCGAAUCAGCAUGUCGCGGUGAAUGCGUUCCCGGGCCUU
rnacentral:rRNA from 1 species